AUUGAACGCUGGCGGCAGGCUUAACACAUGCAAGUCGAACGAGUGGCGGACGGGUGAGUAAUGUCUGGGAAACUGCCUGAUGGAGGGGGAUAACUACUGGAAACGGUAGCUAAUACAGCAUACCAUCAGAUGUGCCCAGAUGGGAUUAGCUUGUUGGUGGGGUAACGGCUCACAAAGGCGACGAUCGCUAGCUGGUCUGAGAGGAUGACCAGCCACACUGGUACUGAGACCCGGUCCAGCCUCCUACGGGAGGCAGCAGUGGGGAAUAUUGCACAAUGGGCGCAAGCCCGAUGCAGCCAUGCCGCGUGUAUGAAGAAGGCCUUCGGGUUGUAAAGUACUUUCAGCGGGGAGGCGUUACCCGCAGAAGAAGCACCGGCUAACUCCGUGCCAGCAGCCGCGGUAAUAC
rnacentral:rRNA from 1 species